rnacentral:rRNA from 1 species
GACGAAGGUGCAAGCGUUAUCCGGAUUCAUUGGGUUUAAAGGGUGCGUAGGCGGACUGAUAAGUCAGUGGUGAAAUCUCUUUGCUUAACAAAGAAACUGCCAUUGAUACUGUCGGUCUAGAGUAUAGAUGACGUUGGCGGAAUAUGACAUGUAGUGGUGAAAUACUUAGAUAUGUCAUAGAACACCGAUUGCGAAGGCAGCUAACGAAACUAUAACUGACGCUGAGGCACGAAAGUGCGGGGAUCAAACAGG